GUAUAGGGUUUCCUCUGAAUACCGAUCGAUUCUACUGGAUUCAUUCCAAUGAAAAUGGUUCAGACCCACAGUGGAAAUGACCCACAUGAUACUGAGGGGUUUAAAGCCAUUGGCCAGAGACUGUAAUUUUAAAGGGGAAACUCAUGGGAAAACAGAGGAUUCUGGGACAUUUUCAUUGAGAUCCGAGAUUCUUUCCCAACCUUUAGAAAUCAUCAGAUACAUAGGAAAAGAAGUUGUGAUUUGAUCAUUAUUAAAUAUAUAAAUGUAGAAUGUUCUGUGAUCCAGGUGAUAGUUUGGCCCAAACUGGCUUCAUCAUUAUUAUUAGCCCAGUUCUGCCCUUCUCACUGCCGUAUGCAACUAUUUUGGGUGCCAUUGCUUCCAGCAUCAGACUGGGGUACCUGGGGCCCACUGGAAAAUCCAGCACCCAAGGGCCCAUUAACAUCCACAGCCAAACCUCCCCCCGGCAGCACUGCAGCCUAUCACCUCCCCCUCGGCCACCACUGCCACAGAAAGCAUUGAGGGGCUACAUCUCCCAUUCCCAUCUCCCAUUGUGUUGCUAGUGGGUGGCCUUGGAGAAGGGAGUGGGUGGAUUUUGGGUAGAUAGUGGGCAGGGUUUCAGUAUAUUAGGGAAUGGCUAAUUGGGUCGUGGGUGUGGCCAUGAGUGUGCAGGUCAAUUUUUUUUCCCCAUUUGCACCCCACUUGUUGGCAUGGCCAAUCUUGGGUCCCCACGCAUUGAUUAAAUAAGAAUCACUGAUGUUUAUUGUAUUUUGGGGGAAUAUAUAUGAUUAAUGAGAAAAGGAAUACGGCCUAGGGAGGAAGAACCAGUAGGAAUCUUCAAUGCCUUAUUAACCCAUACAACAAAAUGGGAUCCUACAUAUAAAUGCAGUCACUGUGUAUAUUACCUGGCACUCAUACAGGCAUAUUAUACCCUGCUGCCCAUGAAAGAAAAAUUGCGCAGAGUUCUGUUUGGAAACUGCAGAUAUAAUGAAAUUGGUACAGCGCCACCUGGUGAUGCACAGUCUGGCUAUACUCCCAACAGUCUCCUAAGGAAGAGUUCAUUUGCUGAGGAUUUCCCAUACCAGUCAGUUGAACUGAAGAAGCUGCUCGGAUCAGUAGUGAAACGUCUUCAAUGAUUACUUAACAAUUCCAGUUGCUUUACAUUUAUUUAUAGUAGAUUAAAAGGUAAUACUCUAACACCACCUUGGGCAGUCAGAGGUAGUGAGGCAUUUCUCUGACAGUAGGUAGAACAGAAGUAGUAGUGAAUUUAUUAUUUGGCACUUGGCUGUACUCUGUCCCCACCUUGUGGUAGUUAGAGGUAGUGAAGCAUUUCUCUGACAGUAGGCAGAACAGAAGUAGUAGUGAAUUAAUUAUUUGGCACUUGGCUGUAC